UCGAAGAACGAAUAAGAAUUGAAAUUAGUAUAGAUAUGAGGAAAACAUAAUAUUCGACUUCCCUAAAAGUAAAGUUUCAAUAAACAUAUUGAAUACAUACAGAAUUGACCGAAUAGUAAAAGGGGAUCUUACGAGUACUUAUCGAUUACCAAAAUAUUUAUGAAACCGAUACCACCACACUCUAGCGUACCGAAACAAUCCCACAACACUAAGUGGCAGACAAGAAAUUGAAAGAGAAGAAGAAGAAGAAGAAAUGGUCGGCUCAGAGAAAAUCGAAAGAAAGAUUGAAAUGACUUAGAGAAAGAAAGAGAGACUAUAUUCGGCUAUUUUGAAAAGAAGAGAAACAGAAAAAACGGUAAAGAAGAAGUUAAGAAUGGGGAAUUCGGUAAGGUACAAGAAUGUAACCUGAAGACAAUGUCCACAAAAGAAAAAUAGUCCAAAUAGUCACUUGUGAAAAUGUCACUAAGGAGAAAAGAA
rnacentral:lncRNA from 1 species